UCCUGUCCUGCUGUCCUCACUCCAGAUCUUGUCCCCUCUUUGCGUCCAGGUGCCCCAAUUUCAGGUCCCAGUGUCCCCAUUUGGGGUCUCAGUGUCCCCUCCUCCCAUCCUGGCGUCCCCAUUUGGGGUCCUGGUCCCCUCACUCCAGGUCUUGUCCCCUCUUUGUGUCCAGGUGUCCCAAUAUCAGGUCCCAGUGUCCCCUCUUCCCAUCCUGACGCCCCCAUUUUGGGUCCUGGCGACUCCUCUUCCUGUCCUGCUGUCCUCACUCCAAGUCUUGUCCCCUCCUCCCAUCCUGGCGUCCCCAUUUGGGGUCCUGGUCCCCUCACUCCAGGUCUUGUCCCCUCUUUGUGUCCAGGUGUCCCAAUUUCAGGUCCCAGUGUCCCCUCUCCCCAUCCUGGCGUCCCCAUGUUGGGCCCUGGUCCCCUCACUCCAGGUCUUGUCUCCUCCUCCCAUCCUGACGCCCCCAUUUGGGGUCCUUUUGACCCCUCUUCCCAUCCUGACGCCCCCAUUUGG